rnacentral:rRNA from 1 species
GUGGACGCCAGUCUGCGUGGAGCCGACCUUGAAAUACCACCCUUUAAUGUUUGAUGUUCUAACGUGGACCCGUAAUCCGGGUUGCGGACAGUGUCUGGUGGGUAGUUUGACUGGGGCGGUCUCCUCCUAAAGAGUAACGGAGGAGCACGAAGGUUGGCUAAUCCUGGUCGGACAUCAGGAGGUUAGUGCAAUGGCAUAAGCCAGCUUGACUGCGAGCGUGACGGCGCGAGCAGGUGCGAAAGCAGGUCAUAGUGAUCCGGUGGUUCUGAAUGGAAGGGCCAUCGCUCAACGGAUAAAAGGUACUCCGGGGAUAACAGGCUGAUACCGCCCAAGAGUUCAUAUCGACGGCGGUGUUUGGCACCUCGAUGUCGGCUCAUCACAUCCUGGGGCUGAAGUAGGUCCCAAGGGUAUGGCUGUUCGCCAUUUAAAGUGGUACGCGAGCUGGGUUUAGAACGUCGUGAGACAGUUCGGUCCCUAUCUGCCGUGGGCGCUGGAGAACUGAGGGGGGCUGCUCCUAGUACGAGAGGACCGGAGUGGACGCAUCACUGGUGUUCGGGUUGUCAUGCCAAUGGCACUGCCCGGUAGCUAAAUGCGGAAGAGAUAAGUGCUGAAAGCAUCUAAGCACGAAACUUGCCCCGAGAUGAGUUCUCCCUGAGACUUUAGGUCUCCUGAAGGAACGUUGAAGACGACGACGUUGAUAGGCCGGGUGUGUAAGCGCAGCGAUGCGUUGAGCUAACCGGUACUAAUGAACCGUGAGGCUUAACCUUACA